rnacentral:misc_RNA from 1 species
GACCGCAGCCCAGGGGAUGGCUCCGCAGCGGGCUGCGUGGAACUCCCGGCCUCGCUCGCCACUGGAUCGCGCGACCGCCACAAGGGCUUGUUGCCGGCGAGGCCGACGGAGAAGACGAUCACGCCGGGACAGAGCAGGUCAACGGCGGGGUCCGGGAGUCCGCGGCUGAGGUGCUGCGCGUAGACCAUGGUGGCCGUGCUGACCAGAUAGCUGCAGGAGAUGGUGGCCGCCGUGCCCAGCGGCAUGCUCCCGCUGUACCGAUGCACGCACAGCACCUCGGCGCGCGCGACCUCGACGGCGCCCGGCAACGCGAAGGACGCGGCGGCCACAUCAUCCCUCCCCUCCUCCGGCGUCUCUCGAGUCUCGAUCGACUGUGCUACUCCCCAAAUUUCUCCCAUGUUCCUCUGAUCUGUUCUGUUCUAAACCUAGGUGUCCUAGUGCGAUCUAGGGAGCCAUAUAAUUGUGGCAGUCGAUCCAGUUCGUUGAAUGAACUGUUUGUUGAGAAACGAUUUGUAGAAGUGUAUUCACAGUCAGAGUUUUGUUCAAUUUCCAUAUGAG